CACGGGGGGAGCAAGCGUUGUUCGGAAUCACUGGGCGUAAAGGGCGUCUAGGCGGUCAAGUAAGUGGAAUGUGGAAAGCCCCCGGCUCACCGGGACUCCGUGCAUCCCAAACUGCUUGGACUUGAGUACGGGAGAGGAUAGGGGAAUUCCUGGUGUAGCGGUGAAAUGCGUAGAUAUCUGGAGGAAUACCGGUGGCGAAGGCGGCAUCCUGGACCAUUACUGACGCUGAGGCGACGAAAGCUAGGGGAGGCAAACGGG
rnacentral:rRNA from 1 species